UACGUAGGGGGCUAGCGUUGUUCGGAAUUACUGGGCGUAAAGCGCUCGUAGGCGGCUUUGUAAGUUAGAGGUGAAAGCCCGGGGCUCAACCCCGGAAUAGCCUUUAAGACUGCAUCGCUUGAAUCCGGGAGAGGUGAGUGGAAUUCCGAGUGUAGAGGUGAAAUUCGUAGAUAUUCGGAAGAACACCAGUGGCGAAGGCGGCUCACUGGACCGGUAUUGACACUGAGGUGCGAAAGCGUGGGGAGCAAACAGG
rnacentral:rRNA from 1 species